rnacentral:lncRNA from 1 species
UCAAAGUCAGGGAAGUGUUACUAUGUGUCCCUGAUGCCAUUGGCCUGUAAGAAGUGUUACUAUGUGUCCCUGGUGCCACUGGCCUGUGAGAAGUGUUACUAUGUGUCCCUGGUGCCACUGGCCUGUGAGAAGUGUUACUAUGUGUCCCUGGUGCCAUUGGCCUAUAGGAAGUGUUACUAUGUGUCCCUAGUGCCAUUGGCCUAUAGGAAGUGUUACUAUGUGUCCCUGGUGCCAUUAGUCUGUGAGAAGUGUUACUAUGUGUCCCUGGUGCCAUUGUCUGUGAGAAGUGUUACUAUGUGUCCCUGGUGCCAUUGGCCUAUAGGAAGUGUUACUAUGUGUCCCUAGUGCCAUUAGUCUGUGAGAAGUGUUACUAUGUGUCCCUGGUGCCAUUGGCCUAUAGGAAGUGUUACUAUGCAUUCCUGGUACCACUGCCCCAGGCCAGGUAAACAAUGGAGGUCUCUCCAGAUCAGCCACACAACCAUCACUGGUGAAAGAGGAUACAGUAUUAGUGCUGAGGUGGUCACAAGACAGAAGGCCCUACAUGGUCCUUCACAGGAAGGGCAGCUUAUAAUGUGGUAAACUGAGCUGAUUCAAACUGAUUGACUUGGGACCUGCAAGCAGACAGCCUCCUAUAGAUCAGUCAGUACCUGAGCCUAGCUACUCCCUUGCCUCUGGGCCACCAUAGCUGCACGACCUAGUAUAGGCCCAUCUGCCCACUCAGAAUGACUCAUUCUUAAAAAAAAAAAAAAAAUGGUGCCACAGCCUAUCCCUGUCCCUGAGAAAGGCUUGAGUCAGUGCUGCCUGGAUUCUUCCUGCCCUCUUUCAUCUGUCUGUCAUCUGAAGCCCGG